UACGGAAGGCAGCAGUGGGGAAUAUUGCACAAUGGGCGAAAGCCUGAUGCAGCUAUGCCGCGUGUAUGAAGAAGGCCUUAGGGUUGUAAAGUACUUUCAUCGGGGAGGAAAAAACAAAACUAAUAAUUUUAUUUCUUGACGUUACCCGAAAAAGAAGCACCGGCUAACUCCGUGCCAGCAGCCGCGGUAAUACGGAGGGUGCUAGCGUUAAUCAGAAUUACUGGGCGUAAAGAGCACGUAGGUGGUUUUUUUAAAGUCAGAUGUGAAAUCCCUGGGCUUAACCUAGGAAACUGCAUUUUGAAACUGAAAUACUAGAGUAUCGUAGAGGGAGGUAGAAUUCUAGGUGUAGCGGUGAAAUGCGUAGAUAUCUGGAGGAAUACCUGUGGCGAAAGCGGCCUCCUAAACGAAUACUGACACUGAGGUGCGAAAGCGUGGGGAGCAAACAGGGAUUAGAUACC
rnacentral:rRNA from 1 species